rnacentral:rRNA from 1 species
UAGUCUCGCACAGAUGCAUAUCAAUAAGCGGAGGAAAAGAAACUAACAAGGAUUCCCUUAGUAACGGCGAGUGAAGCGGGAAGAGCUCAAAUUUGAAAUCUUCAAGGUCUUACCUUGACGAAUUGUAGUUUAAAGAAGUGUUUUCUGUUGAAGUUUUGGUAAAAGUUCUUUGGAAUAGGACAUCAUAGAGGGUGAGAAUCCCGUAUUUGACCAUUAUUUUCAGCUGUGUGAUACACUUUCAAAGAGUCGGAUUGUUUGGGAAUGCAGUCCAAAAUGGGUGGUAAAUUUCAUCUAAAGCUAAAUAUUGGCGAGAGACCGAUAGCGAACAAGUACCGUGAGGGAAAGAUGAAAAGAACUUUGAAAAGAGAGUUAAACAGUACGUGAAAUUGUCAAAAGGGAAGCGUUUGACACCAGUGUUGUUUUCUCGAAAAUCAAUUAAAAGAGUUAGAUUUUGUUGUGUAUUGACCUUAACAGCUUGCAUUUCAAUUUUCUUGCUUUUUUUAAUGCACUUUUCGUUUAACAAGUCAACAUCAGUUUCUUUUGUUGUAAAAAGGUCAUUGGAAGGUGGCUUUCUUUUCGGAGAAAGUGUUUAUAGCCUUUGACUCCUGCAAUCGGAGAGACUGAGGUCUGCAGCGUAGAUCCUUCGGGGUUAGAUACAUUUGUGCUAAGUUAUAGCUUUUUAUAGACAACUUGUUGACUAUGAUUAGUCUUGUAGCUUACUCGCUUAUGCUAUUUUACCUACGCUUAGGAUGUUGAGCGCAUGUCUCUCUCU